rnacentral:rRNA from 1 species
UACAGAGGGGGCAAGCGUUGUUCGGAAUUACUGGGCGUAAAGGGCGCGUAGGCGGCCUUCUAAGUCGAACGUGAAAUCCCCGGGCUCAACCCGGGAACUGCGUCCGAUACUGGAAGGCUUGAAUCCGGGAGAGGGAUGCGGAAUUCCAGGUGUAGCGGUGAAAUGCGUAGAUAUCUGGAGGAACACCGGUGGCGAAGGCGGCAUCCUGGACCGGCAUUGACGCUGAGGCGCGAAAGCCAGGCGAGCAAACGGG